rnacentral:lncRNA from 1 species
AGAGAGAGAGUAUGUGAGUUUUUAAAAAUAUAUUAGAUAAAAUAAAAAGUUAAAAGCAUUUACGGGAUCUAUUGUUGUGUCGUUCUUGCACUGAUCUUAUCUUGUCUGAUUAUAAGGAGUGAAGGAAAUUAAUGUGAUAAGGUGUGGAAGAGUAUGAGUUAUGAAAUAUGAAUCGAUUUGGUAUCUGUGUGCUGUUUGGUUUUCAAAUUUAAAGUAAGUAACUGUUGGAUGGGGUUUCUGUCCCCACACCACGUGAUUCCUGUCUGCGCCCAUUAAUCUUCUUUUACCUUUCACCACUUUUUAUUAUUUUUCUAACAAUAUCAAAUAUAAAUAUUCC